rnacentral:rRNA from 1 species
ACGGGAGGCAGCAGUGGGGAAUAUUGGGCAAUGGGCGAAAGCCUGACCCAGCAACGCCGCGUGAGUGAAGAAGGCCUUCGGGUUGUAAAACUCUUUUACCAGGGACGAAACAAAUGACGGUACCUGGAGAAAAAGCAACGGCUAACUACGUGCCAGCAGCCGCGGUAAUACGUAGGUUGCAAGCGUUGUCCGGAUUUACUGGGUGUAAAGGGCGUGUAGGCGGAGAUGCAAGUCAGAUGUGAAAUCCCGGGGCUCAACCCCGGAACUGCAUUUGAAACUGUAUCCCUUGAGUAUCGGAGAGGCAAGCGGAAUUCCUAGUGUAGCGGUGAAAUGCGUAGAUAUUAGGAGGAACACCAGUGGCGAAGGCGGCUUGCUGGACUGUUACUGACACUGAGGCACGAAAGCGUGGGGAGCAAACAGGAUGAGAUACCCUGGUA